CCUUAACCUGGCCUUGACAUACUAAGAACUUCCAGAGAUGGAUUGGUGCCUUCGGGAACUUAGAUACAGGUGCUGCAUGGCUGUCGUCAGCUCGUGUCGUGAGAGUGUUCGGGUUAAGUCCCGCAACGAGCGCAACCCUUUUCCUUAUUUGCCAGCGGGUUAAGCCGGGAACUUUAAGGAUACUGCCAGUGACAAACUGGAGGAAGGCGGGGACGACGUCAAGUCAUCAUGGCCCUUACGGCCAGGGCUACACACGUGCUACAAUGGUCGGUACAAAGGGUUGCUACCUCGCGAGAGGAUGCUAAUCUCAAAAAAGCCGAUCGUAGUCCGGAUCGCAGUCUGCAACUCGACUGCGUGAAGUCGGAAUCGCUAGUAAUCGCGGAUCAGAAUGCCGCGGUGAAUACGUUCCCGGGCCUUGUACACACCGCCCGUCACACCAUGGGAGUUUGUUGCACCAGAAGUAGGUAGUCUAACCGCAAGGAGGACGCUUACCACGGUGUGGCCGAUGACUGGGGUGAAGUCGUAACAAGGUAAGCGUAGAUGA
rnacentral:rRNA from 1 species